rnacentral:rRNA from 1 species
GACGAACGCUGGCGGCGUGCUUAACACAUGCAAGUCGAACGGAGUGGCGGACGGGUGAGUAACGCGUAAUCAACCUGCCGUUCAGAGGGGGACAACAGUUGGAAACGACUGCUAAUCCCGCAUACUGAUGGGGGGGUUUGCGUCUGAUUAGGUAGUUGGAGGGGUAAUGGCCCACCAAGGCGAUGAACAGUAGCCGGUCCUAGAGGGAGAACCGGCAGAACGGGAAUGAGGAAAGGGCCAGAACUCCUAGGGAGGCAGGAUGGGGGAAUCGUUGGCAAUGGACGGAAGUCUGACUGAGCAAAUCCGCGGGAGUUAUGACGGCCUUCGGGUUGUUAAGCUCUGUUAAUCGGGACGCGGUACCGGAAUAGAAAGCAACGGCUAACUACGUGCCAGCAGCCGCGGUAAUUC